rnacentral:rRNA from 1 species
GACGAACGCUGGCGGCGUGCUUAACACAUGCAAGUCGAACGGAAAGGCCCUGCUUUUGUGGGGUGCUCGAGUGGCGAACGGGUGAGUAACACGUGAGUAACCUGCCCUUGACUUUGGGAUAACUUCAGGAAACUGGGGCUAAUACCGGAUAGGAGCUCCUGCUGCAUGGUGGGGGUUGGAAAGUUUCGGCGGUUGGGGAUGGACUCGCGGCUUAUCAGCUUGUUGGUGGGGUAGUGGCUUACCAAGGCUUUGACGGGUAGCCGGCCUGAGAGGGUGACCGGCCACAUUGGGACGGAGAUACGGCCCAGACCCCUAGGGGAGGCAGCGGGGGGGAAUAUUGCACAAGGGGGGGAAGCCUGAUGCAGCAACGCCGCGGGGGGGAUGACGGCCUUCGGGUUGUAAACCCCUUUCGCCUGGGACGAAGGGUGGGUGACGGUAAUGGGAAAAAAAGCACCGGCUAACUACGU